UACGGAGGGUGCAAGCGUUGUUCGGAAUUACUGGGCGUAAAGGGCGCGUAGGCGGCCGCGUAAGUCUGAUGUGAAAUCCCUGGGCCCAACCCAGGACGUGCAUUGGAAACUGCGUGGCUUGAGUACGGGAGAGGAGAGCGGAAUUCCUGGUGUAGAGGUGAAAUUCGUAGAUACCAGGAGGAACACCGGUGGCGAAGGCGGCUCUCUGGACCGAUACUGACGCUGAGGCGCGAAAGCGUGGGUAGCAAACAGG
rnacentral:rRNA from 1 species